rnacentral:rRNA from 1 species
GACGAACGCUGGCGGCGUGCCUAAUACAUGCAAGUCGAACGCUUUUUCUUUCACCGGAGCUUGCUCCACCGAAAGAAAAAGAGUGGCGAACGGGUGAGUAACACGUGGGUAACCUGCCCAUCAGAAGGGGAUAACGCUUGGAAACAGGUGCUAAUACCGUAUAACACUAUUUUCCGCAUGGAAGAAAGUUGAAAGGCGCUUUUGCGUCACUGAUGGAUGGACCCGCGGUGCAUUAGCUAGUUGGUGAGGUAACGGCUCACCAAGGCAACGAUGCAUAGCCGACCUGAGAGGGUGAUCGGCCACACUGGGACUGAGACACGGCCCAGACUCCUACGGGAGGCAGCAGUAGGGAAUCUUCGGCAAUGGACGAAAGUCUGACCGGGCAACGCCGCGUGAGUGAAGAAGGUUUUCGGAUCGUAAAACUCUGUUGUUAGAGAAGAACAAGGAUGAGAGUAGAACGUUCAUCCCUUGACGGUAUCUAACCAGAAAGCCACGGCUAACUACGUGCCAGCCGCCGCCGUAA